rnacentral:rRNA from 1 species
CCCACCAAUAGGGAACGUGAGCUGGGUUUAGAUCGUCGUGAGAUAGGUUAGUUUUACUAUACUGAUGACAGUGUCGCAAUAGUAAUUCAACCUAGUAUAAGAGGAACCGUUGAUUCGCACAAUUGGUCAUCACGCUUGGUUGAAAAGCCAGUGACGUGAAGCUACCGUGCGCUGGAAUAUGACUGAAUGCCUCUAAGUCAGAAUCUGGGCUAGAAGCGAUGCAUGCACCCGUCGCCCGCUUGCCGACCCGGAGUGGGGGCCGUCUAGCCCCUAAAGGCAGGUGUCGUUGGAGAAACCCGUGCGACAGAUGAGCUGCGUCGGCCGCCUUGAAGUACAAUUCCUAUCUCGAGCGGCGGGAAGAAUCCUUUGCAGAUGAUUUAAAUACGCGAUGGGGUAUUGUAAGUGGCAGAGUGGCCUUGUUGCCAUGAUCCAUUGAGAU